rnacentral:rRNA from 1 species
CCUACGGGUGGCAGCAGUGAGGAAUAUUGGUCAAUGGACGAGAGUCUGAACCAGCCAAGUAGCGUGAAGGAUGACUGCCCUAUGGGUUGUAAACUUCUUUUAUAUGGGAAUAAAACGUUCCACGUGUGGGAUUUUGUAUGUACCAUAUGAAUAAGGAUCGGCUAACUCCGUGCCAGCAGCCGCGGUAAUACGGAGGAUCCGAGCGUUAUCCGGAUUUAUUGGGUUUAAAGGGAGCGUAGGUGGAUUGUUAAGUCAGUUGUGAAAGUUUGCGGCUCAACCGUAAAAUUGCAGUUGAAAAUGGCAGUCUUGAGUACAGUAGAGGUGGGCGGAAUUCGUGGUGUAGCGGUGAAAUGCUUAGAUAUCACGAAGAACUCCGAUUGCGAAGGCAGUUCACUGGACUGCAACUGACACUGAGGCUCGAAAGUGUGGGUAUCAAACAGGAUUAGAUACCCUUGUAGUC